rnacentral:miRNA from 1 species
CGCGGGAGAAAAGUAGGACAUU